GGUAUGCGUACCCCCAUUUGAGAAUCACUGAUAGGAUAUGAAAAAAUACAAUAUUUUAGAAUACGAAAAGAUACAAUAAGAUAUGAUACCAUGCAAAAAAGAGAGUGACACUUCAACUAACUUUUGUCAGUUGGACACAAACAAAUCUCAACGAUUGUUUACUUACAAGAUUGCCAUAAUGACAAAAGGGAAUUGUGUACCCGUCGUGUUUCCACAUACUUUCUUCAGGCUGUUGAAUCAGUCACCCUCUACCAACACUAGAACUGCCAGCCUACCCUCCACUCUGAUGGCUGAGUGCUGUAAGACACAUGGUGACGGGCAGACUGCCAGCAGAAGCAAAUCCUCUUGAUCCUUACAAAGCUGCAAAACAUGGAGGGACAAGGCCAGUCAUAUUUUUUUUUCCUGAUGUGCUCACAGUCUAGUUUAUAAGAAAUCCCACACCCUCCAACACUGCAGCACUUCCACUCCUUUUCCUGUGUCAACAAAUGCACAUCAGAUUUCUAUUUCCCCUCCACCUGGGAAAACAGCAGCCAUUUUCAUCAUCCGGAGCGUGUGAAAUUUCACACUCAUUUUUCACAACACAUCUUUUGAUUUGCACUGCUCCUUUUUUCCCCACCUUUCCCCCUCCCGUGUAUGAAAUCCUUCCAUUCUUGGCUGCCAACACCAAAAAGAUGCAGCCAAUCAUCUCCAAGCGAUGGCAGUUACAAUUUUCUGUGAACAAUUUGCUGCCUUAAGAGGAAAAUUGCUUUCAAUAUAAGCUCCCUUUGAAAGACAACAACAAUAAAAAGAUACAACUGUAAUGCUGCUGCCUCUGUCAGCACUUGGCUGGGACGGCUUCAGUGGGAACGUAUGACUGGGGGAUGAGGUGCUUACAAGUCAGCCUUGUAAUAUCAGCAUCUGUGGGAGACAGUCCCAACAAAUGAAUCCCACUUUGAACAUAACAGCUCGGCAUCACAUGAAAAUUACUGCCAUGAGCAGUAGUUGUCAGA